AGGUUAUGAUGCGGACAUUUUCUCAACAAAUCUUUAAAUCUCUCCCAUGCCUCAAAUAAUGAUUUAUUGUCCAACUGUGCAUAAGCUAUAAUAUCUUGACGCAACUU